rnacentral:rRNA from 1 species
UAGCAUUCAAUAAGCGGAGGAAAAGAAACCAACAGGGAUUGCCCUAGUAACGGCGAGUGAAGCGGCAACAGCUCAAAUUUGAAAUCUGGCUCUUUUAGAGUCCGAGUUGUAAUUUGCAGAGGGCGCUUUGGCUUUGGCAGCGGUCCAAGUUCCUUGGAACAGGACGUCACAGAGGGUGAGAAUCCCGUACGUGGUCGCUGGCUAUUGCCGUGUAAAGCCCCUUCGACGAGUCGAGUUGUUUGGGAAUGCAGCUCUAAAUGGGAGGUACAUUUCUUCUAAAGCUAAAUAUUGGCCAGAGACCGAUAGCGCACAAGUAGAGUGAUCGAAAGAUGAAAAGCACUUUGGAAAGAGAGUCAAACAGCACGUGAAAUUGUUGAAAGGGAAGCGCUUGCAGCCAGACUUGCUUACAGUUGCUCAUCCGGGUUUUUACCCGGUGCACUCUUCUGUAGGCAGGCCAGCAUCAGUUUGGGCGGUAGGAUAAAGGUCUCUGUCACGUACCUCCUUUCGGGGAGGCCUUAUAGGGGAGACGACAUACUACCAGCCUGGACUGAGGUCCGCGCAUCUGCUAGGAUGCUGGCGUAAUGGCUGUAAGCGGCCCGUCUUGAAACACGGACCAAGGAGUCUAACAUCUAUGCGAGUGUUUGGGUGUCAAGCCCGAGCGCGUAAUGAAAGUGAACGGAGGUGGGAACCCGCAAGGGUGCACCAUCGACCGAUCCUGAUGUCUUCGGAAGAUUUGAGUAAGAGCAUGGCUGUUGGGACCCGAAAGAUGGUGAACUAUGCUUGAAUAGGGUGAAGCCAGAGGAAACUCUGGUGGAGGCUCGCAGCGGUUCUGACGUGCAAUCGAUCGUCAAAUUUGGGCAUAGGGGCGAAAGACUAAUCGAACUAUCUAGUAGCUGGUUCCUGCCAAU